CCUCUCUGGUGACAGGGGUGGUGAAAGGAUCUCAGCCUCUGGGUGGAGACCUGUUGAAGGAUGUAUUUAACUGGAAGUAUUGCAGCAAUGUGCAGUGCAAUGGAAGUUGAUGAGGUGGGUAUACAACUACAUUGACAGGAAGAUGACUGAGGAGGAAGUGUGUACACUCUCCUAUAUAUUUCAGUGGCCUUUUGGCUUGUAGUGACACAGCAAAGGCUGGUGAUACAGAGGGGAGGACAUACAGCAAAGGGCUUUGGCUGAACUUGGACUGCUGAGAUGAGGACUCGGCUUCAAUGGUCCGAAAUACACAUACAUGCACAAAUAGGACCUAUACAUGCCCAAAGUGGAGAGAUGUCAGAGUGAGGGGGCUGCCUUGGUCAGGCGCCCCGAGCAGUUGGGGGGUUCAGUGCCUGGCUCAAGGGCACUCCGGCAGUGCCCAGGAGGUGAACCGGCACCUCUCCAGCCACCAGUCCACGUUCUGCAUUUGGUCUGGACGGGGACUUGAACCGGUGACCCUCCGGUUCCCAACCCAGGUCCGUAUGGGCUGAGCUACUGCCGCCCCCAAAUGUGAGCAUGUUAGCAUCAUUGUGAGCAUGUUAGCCUUGUCCUUGUGAACAUGUUAGCAUUUUUG